rnacentral:snRNA from 1 species
UCGAAAUCCGCUAAGGAG